rnacentral:tRNA from 1 species
GGGGCUGUAGUUCAGUUGGUUAGAACAUCCCGAUGUAAUCGGGAAGGUCGCGAGUUCAAGUCUCGUCGCUCCCGCCA